ACCCUUGUUUUAAAGGCUUUAAUGAAAACUACCCAUCUGUUUCCAACUUUUUUUCUUUUACCCUUCUAUUUUCAAAUAUCCCCACAUUACCCUUUGCAAAUGUGAAAAGGAAGAAUGAAGAUGUAAGGUUAUGCCAUUUUUCCCCUAAACGGAGCACGAAGAAGAAGAGGAAGAGAAAGUGAGAGAGAAUGGCGAAGCGUUUUGGGACAAUCGGAGUUCUUCAGGAGGAGGAGCGAGUGGAGGAAGCAUCCAAGGCUCAGCAAUCAACUCUGCCAUGCCCUUCUCGGUCUUAGCCUUAGAGUCGAUGAGCAAGUCUACAGCAAACUCCUCCUUCCUCUUCUUCUUCUGCUUCUUCUUCUUCUCACCACUCUUCCCAUUCCUCUGCUUCUCACUAACUCACUGAGACAACUAAAACAAUAACCUCAUCAAGAUGAUGGAUCUGUUAUAUGUAUAUUUUCUCUUUCUGGAAGUAAUGCCCAAGAUGGACAUUUAGCUACUGGUCGUAAUGGUGUAAAGCGCCUCAGAACUAUAAGUUCUCAUCUGUUUUACUCUUUGAUGUGGUCAAACAACCAAAUAUUUUAUCAUUCCUUUAUAGUAUGGAGACUAAAACUUUUCGUGGUAAUACGACAAAGGUUACUAUCUAUAUUGUCAUGGAGCCUGUUGUUCCACUAUUAGAAAAGAUCAAGGAACUAAAUUUGGAAGGUACAUAAAGUGGUUUGGCUAGGAAUAUAGAUUGAAGAAAAUGGAGAGGAAAGUGAAGAAAAUGAAAAGAUUUGUCGUUGCUACAACACAACUACUACAAGAGCAAGAAGUGUUGAUGAAGCUUGAGCAAACUUUGAGGAGAAUGCAAGUCAAUGCUCAGUUAGAUCGUGUGAACUUGCUUGAGUUCCAGCAGAUGGUGAUGUGCCAACAUCAAGAAAUGAGAAAAUUAAAAGAUUUGUGUCCAUGGAAUAGAACUUUCAUGCGGAUGAGUUAUGUUGCACCUUUUAAAGGAUGCAUGGUGGGUGGAAUUGAUUCUUCCGUUGAAGAGAUAUGCAAGCCAACCAUUGGUGGUUCAAUGCAGUUGAGAAAUGUUAGUAUUGAAUUGGUUGUGAGUCAAGUCUUCCACAAGGCUAUUUAUUGUUCACAAAAGAGAAUUAAAGCCAUAAAUUUCCACUUCAUUCCAUGAAAGCUGUUUUGAGCAUCUAGUUUGACAUUUUUUUUUCUUUUUUUCAAAGGCAAAACUUCCAAUGGUAGUGAGUUACUUUCACGGCUUUUGAAAAAUUCUUUUAUUUGUUGAUAUGGUGGAUGAAUUCAGGUCCAAUAGUCGUUUUCUUAUGAAGCAUA